UGUUUUAAAGGAAUCAGUGAAGGGCAUUCUCCACUCGAGCUUUGUGAAAUACUGUGCAGAUGCUCAUGGCUGUGGAUGCUGUGUGGUGUGAAGAACACUGCAGUUCAUUGAAUAUGGUGUGAGGAAUGCUGCUGUGCACUGACUGUGUGGUGUGAGGAAUGCUGCUGUGCACUGAUUGUGUGCUGUGAGGAAUGCUGCUGUGCACUGACUGUGUGCUGUGAGGAAUGCUGCUGUGCAUUGAUGCUGCCUUUUUUCUUUUCUCCCUACACCUGCAUCCUUCUGGUGGCUCAGGUUGGACAACUAGGUGCCCAUGACCAAGUCCUCAUUGUGCAUGGAUUUAGUCUGGUUGGACUUUCUCAGGAAAGGCAGCUGAACUCAUGACUAGUACCAGUUCCAUGGUUACCCUGGAAGUUGAAAAUCAAGGCAUCCUCUCUCACUGCCUGUCCACCUUUCUUACCCAGCCAUUGUCCCCCAUGGUGCAGAGAGCACAGAUCUCAUCUGGUCCUGGAGAAAGUCCUUAUCCUGGUCUGUGGCGUCAGGAGACUUGUAGGGGUGCGUGAAGCCGACUUCUGGUACAUCUUUGUCUCUGGCUCAGUGCUAAACAUCCUGCCCUCAGUGUAUGAUGGGUAUGCCAUGGCUCCUGCAUUUAAAGGAAUGUUAUGUUUAUUUUACUUGUUAUUUAAUGUGACACUUGGGUUUUUAACACUAUUUCUAAUAGAUCAGCCUCCUAUUCCUGGAGAGAAGUGUGCAUAUACCACUACAACAGCAGCUAACAUCUGUCUCCACUGGAGACCUCUGCACUGAGGUCUGAGAUGAGCUGGAACACUUUCUUACUGGUGAAAUAUCUGACUUCUUUGAUACAGUUCUCAACAAAUUACAUUAACUAUCAUUCCUGAA
rnacentral:sRNA from 1 species